GGUUGGAUAAGGGUAAGACUGCACAGGGGCCAGAUGGGCUGGUUUGGAGAAGGGUAAUGAGAUCCCAGGAAGAGAGAGGAACCGUGCCACCAAGCAGCCCUAUGGAGAGGCCAAUGUGGAGAGAAACUGAGGCCUUCCACCAAAAGCCAGCACCAACUUGCUAUCCAUGUGAGUGAACCAGCUUGCAGUACAGAGUGGUCAACCCCAGUCAAGCUUUCAGAUAACUACAAGCCUAGUUGACAUCUUGACUACAACUUCAAGAGAGACAUCAAGGCAGAACUGCUUCGCUAAACUGCUCUUGAAUUCUUGACCCACAGAAACUGAGAGAGAGAAUAAAUAUUUAUUGUUGUUUCAAGUAACUACAUCCUGG
rnacentral:lncRNA from 1 species